rnacentral:misc_RNA from 1 species
UUAAGUUCAGCGGGUAUCCCUACCUGAUCCGAGGUCAACCUUAUAAUAGUUGGGGUUGUUGGCAAGUACACUCAAGACCCUGUCGCGAGAAAAAUUACUACGCGUAGAGCUUUAGAGCACCGCCACUGAUUUUAAGAGAGGUCAGAUAGACCAGCUCCAAGUCCACCACAGGGGUGAUUUGGUCAUUAUGACGCUCGAAC